rnacentral:Y_RNA from 1 species
GGCUGGUCCAAAGGUAGUGGGUUAUCUCACUUGAUUGUUCACAGUUACAGAUUGAACUUGUCCUCCUACUGUCCCCCCUUCUCACUACCACACUUGACUAGUCUUAA